rnacentral:rRNA from 1 species
UACGUAGGGGGGCAAGCGUUGUCCGGAAUCAUUGGGCGUAAAGCGCGCGUAGGCGGCCCGGUAAGUCCGUUGUGAAAGUCAAAGGCUCAACCUUUGAACGCCGAUGGAUACUGCCGGGCUAGAGUCCGGAAGAGGCGAGUGGAAUUCCUGGUGUAGCGGUGGAAUGCGCAGAUAUCAGGAGGAACACCAAUAGCGAAGGCAGCUCGCUGGGACGGUACUGACACUAAGGCGCGAAAGCGGUGGGGAGCGAACAGG